rnacentral:rRNA from 1 species
GUGGGUAGUUUGACUGGGGCGGUCUCCUCCUAAAGAGUAACGGAGGAGCACGAAGGUUGGCUAAUCCUGGUCGGACAUCAGGAGGUUAGUGCAAUGGCAUAAGCCAGCUUGACUGCGAGCGUGACGGCGCGAGCAGGUGCGAAAGCAGGUCAUAGUGAUCCGGUGGUUCUGAAUGGAAGGGCCAUCGCUCAACGGAUAAAAGGUACUCCGGGGAUAACAGGCUGAUACCGCCCAAGAGUUCAUAUCGACGGCGGUGUUUGGCACCUCGAUGUCGGCUCAUCACAUCCUGGGGCUGAAGUAGGUCCCAAGGGUAUGGCUGUUCGCCAUUUAAAGUGGUACGCGAGCUGGGUUUAGAACGUCGUGAGACAGUUCGGUCCCUAUCUGCCGUGGGCGCUGGAGAACUGAGGGGGGCUGCUCCUAGUACGAGAGGACCGGAGUGGACGCAUCACUGGUGUUCGGGUUGUCAUGCCAAUGGCACUGCCCGGUAGCUAAAUGCGGAAGAGAUAAGUGCUGAAAGCAUCUAAGCACGAAACUUGCCCCGAGAUGAGUUCUCCCUGAGACUUAGAGUCUCCUGAAGGAACGUUGAAGACGACGACGUUGAUAGGCCGGGUGUGUAAGCGCAGCGAUGCGUUGA